rnacentral:siRNA from 1 species
AUGACAAUUUAGAAGUGUGGUCCU